rnacentral:rRNA from 1 species
AUUGAACGCUGGCGGCAUGCUUUACACAUGCAAGUCGAACGGUAACGGGGUGCUUGCACCGCUGACGAGUGGCGAACGGGUGAGUAAUGCGUCGGAACGUGCCGAGUAGUGGGGGAUAACGCAUCGAAAGGUGUGCUAAUACCGCAUACGUACUGAGGUAGAAAGUGGGGGACCUUCGGGCCUCACGCUAUUCGAGCGGCCGGCGGCUGAUUAGCUAGUUGGUGAGGUAAAGGCUCACCAAGGCGACGAUGAGUAGCGGGUCUGAGAGGAUGAUCCGCCACACUGGGACUGAGACACGGCCCAGACUCCUACGGGAGGCAGCAGUGGGGAAUUUUGGACAAUGGGCGCAAGCCUGAUCCAGCCAUGCCGCGUGUCUGAAGAAGGCCUUCGGGUUGUAAAGGACUUUUGUCCGGGAGCAAAUGCCUGGUGUUAAUAGCACUGGGAGCUGAGAGUACCGGAAGAAUAAGCACCGGCUAACUACGUGCCAGCCGCCGCCGUAAAAC